rnacentral:snRNA from 1 species
AGCUUUCACAGUGGCAGUAUCAUAGCCAAUGAGAUUUUUCUGAGGUAUGAUUAUUGCUAAAUGAAAAUUUUUCCUAGUUCCUCUUUCCUUUUGAACAAUUUUUCCUAUUUCACAAUA